rfam:Myotis lucifugus cont2.44966, whole genome shotgun sequence.
GGCAGUUCUCAGGUGAUGCACCCCAGAAUCGGGCUCCCUCCUCUCUGGGUCCGGGGUGCGUCACCCGAGAACCGCC